CCCAGUUCGGAUUGCAGUCUGCAACUCGAGUGCAUGAAGCUGGAAUCGCUAGUAAUCGCGGAUCAGAAUGCCGCGGUGAAUACGUUCCCGGGUCUUGUACACACCGCCCGUCACACCAUGGGAGUCGGGAAUGCCCGAAGCCGGUGGCCCAAUCGAAAGAAGGGAGCCGUCGAAGGCAGGCCGGAUGACUGGGGUGAAGUCGUAACAAGGUAGC
rnacentral:rRNA from 1 species